GACGAACGCUGGCGGCGUGCUUAACACAUGCAAGUCGAACGGAAAGGCCUGCUUUCCCUUGUGGAUUGCGGGUACUCGAGUGGCGAACGGGUGAGUAACACGUGAGUGAUCUGCCCCCAACUUGGGUAUAAGCCUGGGAAACUGGGUCUAAUUCCCGAUAGCACUGCAGGGUGGUGCCUGUGGUGGAAAACGAUUUUCUAGUGGUUGGGGAUGAGCUCGCGGCCUAUCAGCUUGUUGGUGGGGUAAUGGCCUACCAAGGCGGCGACGGGUAGCCGGCCUGGGAGGGUGGACGGCGACAUUGGGACUGAGAUACGGCCCAGACUCCUACGGGAGGCAGCAGUGGGGAAUAUUGCACAAUGGGCGGAAGCCUGAUGCAGCGACGCCGCGUGGGGGAUGACGGCCUUCGGGUUGUAAACUCCUUUCGACCGCGAGGAAGCCACCUGGUUGGAAGGGUGGUGACGGUAGUGGUAGAAGAAGCACCGGCUAACUACGUG
rnacentral:rRNA from 1 species